CGUGUAGGCGGUUUAAUAAGUCAGAUGUUAAAGCCCCCGGCUCAACCGGGGAUAGUCAUUUGAAACUGUUAGGCUUGAGUGCGAGAGAGGGUAGUGGAAUUCCCAGUGUAGCGGUGAAAUGCGUAGAUAUUGGGAAGAACACCAGUAGCGAAGGCGGCUACCUGGCUCGCAACUGACGCUAAGGCGCGAAAGCGUGGGGAGCAAACA
rnacentral:rRNA from 1 species